UGAGGAAUAUUGGUCAAUGGGCGAGAGCCUGAACCAGCCAAGUAGCGUGAAGGAUGAAGGUCCUACGGAUUGUAAACUUCUUUUAUAAGGGAAUAAAACGCUCCACGUGUGGAGCCUUGUAUGUACCUUAUGAAUAAGCAUCGGCUAACUCCGUGCCAGCAGCCGCGGUAAUACGGAGGAUGCGAGCGUUAUCCGGAUUUAUUGGGUUUAAAGGGAGCGCAGACGGGAUGUUAAGUCAGCUGUGAAAGUUUGCGGCUCAACCGUAAAAUUGCAGUUGAUACUGGCGUUCUUGAGUGCAGUUGAGGUGUGCGGAAUUCGUGGUGUAGCGGUGAAAUGCUUAGAUAUCACGAAGAACUCCGAUUGCGAAGGCAGCUCACUAAACUGUAACUGACGUUCAUGCUCGAAAGUGUGGGUAUCAAACAGG
rnacentral:rRNA from 1 species